rnacentral:rRNA from 1 species
GACGAACGCUGGCGGCGUGCUUAACACAUGCAAGUCGAACGGAAAGGCCCUGCUUUUGUGGGGUGCUCGAGUGGCGAACGGGUGAGUAACACGUGAGUAACCUGCCCUUGACUUUGGGAUAACUUCAGGAAACUGGGGCUAAUACCGGAUAGGAGCUCCUGCUGCAUGGUGGGGGUUGGAAAGUUUCGGCGGUUGGGGAUGGACUCGCGGCUUAUCAGCUUGUUGGUGGGGUAGUGGCUUACCAAGGCUUUGACGGGUAGCCGGCCUGAGAGGGUGACCGGCCACAUUGGGACUGGGAUACGGCCCCGACUCCUACGGGAGGCAGCAGUGGGGAAUAUUGCACAAUGGGCGGAAGCGUGAUGCAGCAGCGCCGCGUGCGGGAUGACGGCCUUCGGGUUGUAAACCGCUUUCGCCUGUGACGAAGCGUGAGUGACGGUAAUGGGUAAAGAAGCACCGGCUAACUACGUG